rnacentral:rRNA from 1 species
UACGGGGGGUGCGAGCGUUGUCCGGAAUCACUGGGCGUAAAGGGCGCGUAGGUGGUCUGAUAAGGGUGUGGUGAAAGCCCGGGGCUCAACCCCGGGUCGGCCGUGCCGACUGUUAGACUAGAGUGCUGUAGGGGCAGGCGGAAUUCCGGGUGUAGCGGUGGAAUGCGUAGAGAUCCGGAGGAACACCGGUGGCGAAGGCGGCGACCUGGGUAGAUACUGACGCUGAGGCGCGAAAGCGUGGGGAGCAAACAGG